rnacentral:misc_RNA from 1 species
AAGUCGUAAUAAGGUUUCCGUAGGUGAACCUGCGGAAGGAUCAUUCGCAAUAAAUGGGUUUUUUUAUAAUUCAUAGAAGAAAAAAAAAUCCUUUACCACCUUGAGUGCAAUGUAUGAGAAAAGGGGCCAUUUGGCUUGUCUGAAAUAAACAUAUUCUUUGAAUAACUUAAUUCAAUAAUACAACUUUCAACAACGGAUCUCUUGGCUCUC